rnacentral:lncRNA from 1 species
AGCCCCAAUACGGGGUGAGGAGGCUGAGAGUGUGGAGUUCCUCUGGCCCACAGGCCUGGCAUUCCCAGGGCUCCAGAAACUUGUCAAAGCAGGCCGUCUGGCUUCAGAGCCCUCCUUACUGAUCCUAGGUCCUAAAUCCCUAGCUAGCCUAAGACUUAGCUAGGAACGAUUCAAAUGGAUUCCUUUCGCUUUAAGGAUUUUCAGAGACCAUAUGUGUUUUUGACUUAAUAAGAAAAGGAUCUUUUUAUGCAUACUAUCUCAAGCCACCCACCCUCAUUUUUUUUUUCUAAAUAGAGAGCUUUGCUGUGCUGACUUUGAACUCCCAGGCUCAACUGACCCUUGUGCUUCAGCCUCCCACACAGCUGGAGAGUAUCUACCAUGUCGAGCUGAUAUCUUUGUACUUUCUCAUUUCAAGAUUCUCACUGAGCGGCCUUUUUGUGUGCCUACUGAAGCCUUGUCUAUCUCUGCCAAGGAUGGAAAGUUGCACGAUCCCCCUUGACCUUGAAGAUCAACGGGUGAAUGUGCAAUCCCAACAGGACCUUGCCUUCUAGCAUCUUCCAUGGCUCUCAUUGAUACCCUUAUCCUAGGUAUCUGCAAGCCAGCCUCUCAAUUAGAAGCCAUGCUGAGGAGAUAUGUGUCAGCCCAGAGCUCCAUCAUUAAACUACCUCAUGUUUUUACAUCAAGAUGGUCGUCUGUUCGUGAUUCUUGGGUGCAUGCCAAAUCGAGAAUUGAGUGGGGGUUUCCCCACUAGGUUCUUUCAGCUGCACAGUUGAGAGACCCUAUCGCAAACAAAACAAGACUGGGGAAAAAAAAGAAAGAGAAAGACAGCAUCCUCAUUCUUCCACGGUCUGAGAGUCCUCUCCAAAGCUCGUUUUGAGAUGCAGUUGCCUGUUACAGCAUGGAGAGAAGCAAUCUGUGAGAGGCGAUCAUUCGAGAGAACUUUGUCCUCUGGGAAUUGAGGAACACUGGGUUUGCAUCUAUGAUGGGCUGGCUUCGUGGCUGUGGAUCUGUGGCAAGGCAAAGUCAUGGCAAAAGCCCACGUAGGCCAAAGCUGCUUCCCUCGUGGCGUCCAGGAAGCAGAGAGAAUAGAGGGGCCAAGAGCAAGACACAGCUCCCAAGAGCACACCCUGCCAACGAGACCCAACCUCACAGGGAAGAAAGAGCAGAAUGAAAAUACCACCCUGCGGCACCCACGGUGACAGAGUCCACGGGGACUUUGAUGUUAGAGACAAGCAGAGUUAAGAAAGGCCAGGUCACGUCUCACCUGCUGCUAACGUUCUACUGGGGCUCUCUGACCCUCUGUAUAGCGAUGAUCACCAGGACUCAUCAGAAGCCGCCAACAGAAGACCGCCUUCACCUUGUCCUUUGUUCUAAGCAUCCCUGGCCCUUCCUGCCAGGGACCAUCUCUGUGACAUGGUUCUCUAUGGCACCCCAAACUCCUGCUGGUCACUCAGAUUCCAAUCCCAUGCCCCGGUGACACAAAUUGCACACUUCAGCCAGCACCGCCUACAAAAUUAUCAGGGGAAGCGGAGGAACAAUGAAUCCCUAACGUCCGUGGGAACAUAGCUCUAAAGCAGAGACUUGUGUACCCCAGCAUCUUCACUCGCCCCAUUAUUUUAACUACGCAUGUGGCUAUCCCAAACACUACUGUUUCCAGCUUCUUAUGCAGUUGAACAUAAUAAGAGCACAUGUCUGCCUCUGGCCAAUAAAUUAUAAAUGAAAACAGAAGAGAAACAC